AUUGAACGCUGGCGGCAUGCCUUACACAUGCAAGUCGAACGGUAACGGGCCUUCGGGUGCCGACGAGUGGCGAACGGGUGAGUAAUACAUCGGAACGUGCCCGAUCGUGGGGUAUAACGAGGCGAAAGCUUUGCUAAUACCGCAUACGAUCUACGGAUGACAGCAGGGGACCGCAAGGCCUUGCGCGGACGGAGCGGCCGAUGGCAGAUUAGGUAGUUGGUGGGAUAAAAGCUUACCAAGCCGACGAUCUGUAGCUGGUCUGAGAGGAUGAUCAGCCACACUGGGACUGAGACACGGCCCAGACUCCUACGGGAGGCAGCAGUGGGGAAUUUUGGACAAUGGGCGCAAGCCUGAUCCAGCCAUGCCGCGUGCAGGAUGAAGGCCUUCGGGUUGUAAACUGCUUUUGUACGGAACGAAAAGCCUUCGUUUAAUACAGGAGGGUCAUGACGGUACCGUAAGAAUAAGCACCGGCUAACUACGUG
rnacentral:rRNA from 1 species